UACGUAGGGGGCAAGCGUUGUCCGGAUUUAUUGGGCGUAAAGAGCGUGUAGGCGGCUAUACAGGUCCGCUGUGAAAACUCGAGGCUCAACCUCGAGACGUCGGUGGAAACCGUAUGGCUAGAGUCCGGAAGAGGAGAGUGGAAUUCCUGGUGUAGCGGUGAAAUGCGCAGAUAUCAGGAAGAACACCAGUGGCGAAGGCGACUUCCUGGCCUGUUCUUGACGCUGAGGCGCGAAAGCUAGGGGAGCAAACGGG
rnacentral:rRNA from 1 species